CAGUUCUGGAGACACCUGACCAGCUGAGAGAGCACUGCAGAGGAGCUGGACCCGAACAGAGGUAGUCUGCGGAUGACCCCUCCACGCAGGGCGCAGACACGCCCAGAACGCGGGGUCCUGGGACCAGCCGGCGGGAAGGUGGAGGCGGACCGCAGAGGACGCGCGGAAGAGACAGGUCACUGGAAUUCUUCACAUGCAGUGCUUAAAGCAAUCCUUCCGGACUAAAGGUAGAAGGUGGCUGUGAGUGGAGUGACUCAGGUGGGACCAGCAUGGAUGUGCGGUGGAGUAGCCUGAAGCCAGGCUGCAGGAGGAAUUUGUCUCAAAGACUAAGUCUCACAGCAUCUCUUUGGAAAAGCUAAAAUCACAUGGAAUGAUUUGUGGCAAAUCCCCCCAGUCUGCAUGUUUGUAAUAGAGCAGAACGUGUCAGAUAAAUAGAAUGUAUAUAUUUUGGAGAAGAAUUUCAGCUUAAAUGUUUCCUAAACCUCAUUCAUAGGUAGAUUCUGGAAAGAAGAAUGGCUGAAACCUGGGCGCCAGAUCCUUGAAUGCCACAUUAUAACAUACAUGUCAGAGAAGUGGUUGGGUAGCAAGGUGUGUAUGUACUUGGACACUGUAUUUUGAGUACACUGGGGACCAUGGAAGCAUCGGGACUCCCUCUUCCAGGGAGCUGGAAUCAUUGCAAGCACCUCAGCCAGUGGGUGUGAAACACCCCCCAGGAUUCUGGGUUUAUACUAAUGGAGGUAGAGCACAAACUCUCAAUUUUGGGAACAGCCCCUUCCAACCCUCACAACUUAGUAUUUCUCAUCAACCACAAGAUUGACUGAGCCUUCGUGGCCAAGAAACUUCUGCUGUGCAGAGAUGAAAGCUGUUACUCGUAACUUGACAGCAUGCUCCCGUUAAAUGAUAUCCUGUGCAGGGGACCAAGAAAUGGACAAGAGGAAGAGAGGAGCUUCAAGUGUGUUUUGGGAGACUCUCAGGAAGCACAGCAUAUCUCUGGUGAUCUAAGGUGGGCAACUGCAAGGAGGGUGGGCAGGAAAGGCCUUCAAAGGCUCCCUUACAUUUCUGCUUUGAGCAAGUGGGCAGAGUCUCCAUCCCAUGUGUGUUUGGCUGCCCCGUGCCUACCAGGCAGUCUCCAUUGACAGUGAUGACCUUUGCCAAAUGACACACCGGCAUUUAUUCCAUCAAGAGUAGAAAGACCAGCUUUGACAUGCUCCUGAUUUCACUGGUCUUCUCCCUGGUUUGUCUGUUUUCUAUUUCAUUGCUUUCCAGUCAUUAUUAUUCCCUUCCUUUUGCUUGCUUUGGGAUUAAUUUGCAUUUCUUCUUCUACCCUGAUAAAGUAGAAGCUUAGGUCAUUAAUUUUCAACUUUAAAAUAUUUUUCUAAUAUAAGCAUUUUAAAUUUAUAAAUGCCCCUCUAUAUACUGUUUUAGCUUCAUCUCACAGAUUUUGAUGUUAUGUUUUCUUUGUCUUUGAAACAUUUGCAAAUUUCCUUUGUGAUUUCUCCUUUGCCCCAUGGGUUAUUUAGAAGUGUGUCUUUAAUUUCCAAAUAUUUGGUGAUUUUACAGAUAUCUUUUUGUUAUUGAUUUCUAAUUCAAUUUUGUUUUGGUGAGAGAACAUACACUACAUAAUUCCAGCGCUUUUAAAUUUAUGGAGACUUGUUUGAUGACCCAGCCCAUAGUUGAUCUUGGUGAACAUACCAUACUCACUUGAAAAGAAUGUGUAUUUGUAGUUGUUGGGUGAAAAGUCCCAUAAAUAUCAAUGAAGUCAAGUUAGUUGAUAGUGUCUGCUAUAUCCCUCUUGGUUUUUCUAUCUCUUCAAUACUUGUUCUAUUAAUUACUGAGAGGAGAGCAUUGAAACCUCCUUUGAAGCCCCGCUCUUCACUGUAUCCACAUUUAGGGUCAGAGUGUCUGUCUUCUUGAUUGUGACAGGGUCCUGGAAAUCAGACUGUUUUUACAUGAGUAGAAGAACAGUACCUCUCACUCGUAUUGUGCCCCAAACUCCAGAAAAGAUCCUCCAAACCAGCACAGAGGCUGGGUCAUGGUGGACACUCCAGGAUAAUUCAGUGAAUGUUAUCAUGGGACUGUGGGCCAGUGGAUCCCAAUGUCCAGUCAGAGGACUGGUGCUGGGCAAGAAUGAAGUUCUCACAGGUCUGUGGUGAAAAGAGAAAAAUGAGGACAACUCUGUGUGUAUGUG